GGCAUUUCUCCGGUGACACACCCCAGAAUUGGGCUCCUUCCUUUCUGGUUCUGGGGUGCAUCACCCGAGGACUGCU
rfam:Myotis lucifugus cont2.38644, whole genome shotgun sequence.